UACAGGGGGUGCAAACGUUGCUCGGAAUCAUUGGGCGUAAAGCGCACGUAGGCGGUCUGUUAUGUCGGAUGUGAAAGCCCUCGGCUCAACUGAGGAAGUGCAUCCGAAACUGGCAGGCUAGAGUACUAAAGAGGGUCGCGGAAUUCCCGGUGUAGAGGUGAAAUUCGUAGAUAUCGGGAGGAACACCGGCGGCGAAGGCGGCGACCUGGGUAGAUACUGACGCUGAGGUGCGAAAGCGUGGGUAGCAAACAGG
rnacentral:rRNA from 1 species